CCGAACCAAAACUGGACUUCCGCCAUUUCCCCCCUCUCACUCACCGUGAACAGACCAGCACGGCAGCGCCCAAGUCCUCCCAUAGAAAUAGUUCGGUUCUUGGGUGUUCUAACCAACACCAAAGUCUAUUCAUUUUACCAGGGAACAACAAGUGAGGAUUUGUGGGUCACUUUUAUUUUUAACGGACCGGUGCCAGAAACACUGCCUCAGCAUUUAUACGUAUGUGCAUUUCAAACGAGGGUGCGUACAAUGCUGGAUUUGUUUCACGGCUCCUGUUGGAAAAAAAGGACCUAUUCCUAAAGUCCGUCAUCCACUCACUGAAGAGGGCAAAUCCCAGUUGCCCACAUGCAAGGAGGCUGUCAAACAGAGAAAUCACUGCAGACUGUUGGUACACGGACAUCUGCUGCCCAGCUCAGGAGUGAAGGUGAUGGUGAGGACAGCCACAGCUUCCAUCUGGUAGAGGACUGCUUCCGCUCAGUCUUCCAAAUAGUGAUGAGAACAAGGAUCACCACAUC